AUAUAUAUAUAUAUAUAUAUAUGUUAACUUAAAAGAUAGCUUUUUGAAAGUGAUGUGUAGUGACUUGAUUUCACACUCCUUGUUUCUGCUGUGCAGCCUUGUGGAGCAGUUGAGCGGGCUUGGCUUCUUAGGGGCUGUCGACUGGGCUUGUUGGUAUCCCUUUUGCCACUGCGCACCUGUUAUCGCUCAUUUCGUCAGGCACGCAGCUGUGUAACCUCUGUAGUGGCAUCCUGACACAAUGGCACGCCUCACCCCUCCGUCUCUAUGCAUUUUUCCCACCCUCACCUGUCGGAAGAAACGCUUGAUGGGGAAGUGUCUACACACACACCACGUCUGUGAAACUCGUUCUCCCACGUCAAAGUUCUUCGCUGUUUGUAAACAAGCCGCAUGCCCAUUGUUUGCAGUGGCACGCUGCCUGUCGUCUGCUUGCGCUACGGGUGCGAGCGCACAUAUUUUGUGUAUCGUUGUCGUGAUCGAUAAUCAUGGCUAAAGUCAUCACAUCACAGCAUACAUUUCGUGCAUUUCACCCACCUCAGAAAGCUUGCAUUUCUUUUGCUUUUUCAUUCGCGUUGCACUAUAUUUUCAAGCUGCCUCGAAAUCGGUUCUUGGGAACUGCUGCAUUGAGCUAUCAGCUGGAGUGAAAAGUGACGAGAGUUUUGGUCCUAAUGUAUGGUAUUGCUUGUCACUGCGAGAGCCUCACGGCUUUGCAUUGCUCCAACGCAAGGAGAAAAGGGCACUUGGUAGUGCACACUGAUGUUUGUAGCUCCGUAUGUGUGCUGGGCGGCUGGCCACAGGUAGAGAGACGCUUUUUUAAGUAUUUGCCCAAGGUUUACACGAUGUCAAUGAUUAAUGCAUUACGGUUUCUUGCACAAGUCACUUUUGCACAACGAUGACUGCUGUUGUCUGGUGACGAACUGAAUACGAGCGGUAGCCAUCAGCUUUGAUUGCACAUUGAACAAACUACCGUGGCAGCAGCUGAUGACUGAAGCAUGUUGUUUGUCACGCGUUCUUGCACGAGGCUGGAUCUCUAUGGUAGCGAGCAUGUUUCUGUGGUGCUGAAACUGAAAUGUUUCAUCGUGAAGCAGGCAGGGGAGAGUUGCUGGUUCAUUGGAAGUGAACACUUGUUGGCUGGCUCAAUCCUAGAACGACUUUAGCAACUUGUCAUCUUUGCGGUAUUUUUGGCAGCAUGUAUAGCUAGUGUUCACUCAAGUCUGCACUCUGUGAAGGAAAAGAUAUUGUUUUACUCGCACACACAACACUGAAAAGCAACACAUGAAAUAAACAGUGUUAUCCACUCAUAUAAAACAUAGAAGUGAUGGACUUUAGUUAUGGUUUUUGCGAUAUAUCUAAAAAAAGAAAAGAAGUUUGCCAGUCAUUGCACAAAAUGUUUUUUGUGUGCUGUUCACAGGAUAAGUGUGCUCAAAGCCAAACUGGCUUUGGAUAAUCAGGGUUUCACAGUGCUUCAUAUCUCAGUAGGAUAUGUUGUCAUAGGGUUGAGUCAGCAUCACAUGCUUGUGCCAUGAAAGUGCUAGCCACUGUUGUGGCAACUGCAGGAUUAACAGGUGCAUAAACACCCAGAUGUUGGUUAUCCCGCAAUUACGACCUGAGCGUAACAUGAACAUUUGUGGCACACUAAUCACGCAAUUUACAACCCAGCCAGCCCAUGAUCACAAGUGGUGAGUCUUGAGACCUGGGCCUAAAAUUUACGGCAGCUAGUCUGAGAGACACCGGUGCUGAAAGAUGUUUUAUUGUUUGUUGUAAAGGCCAGGCUGCCCACAUGGGUGUUGGUGGUGCACAGUUUAAUGGAAUGAGGAAGACUGCUUACAGAGGAGCGUCACUUUUGCAUGCAUGAUUAGUUAUGGCUUGGAAGCAUGUUUUACUCUAGGGUCGUUGAAAAUGCCUAGAGGAGUGUAAGUGAUUUGCUUUGCAAUGUAAAAAGGCCUACUCUUGAAUGAGCUGGCCUCUGCGAGGUAGAAUGGUGCAGAAUGUGUUGCUUCGUGUUCCCAAAUCUGGCUUGCACUGUGGCCACAAAACAUUACAAGAGCUGUGAAAACAAUACGAGCGCAUUGCAUUUUGAAAACUAAAGCUGCAGUAUGCGUUUUUUCCUGCAUUAUAGUUGCAGUGCUCUUCAAAGCCAGGCUGUGCAUCAAUGCUAUAACCAUGACUGAACUGCAUUCGAUGAGGCUGUUUCAUGCAACAGCCACAUGUAUCAGAACUCAGCUGUGAUUAAAGCAUGGACGUUGCAUAGCAAGAGCAGGAGGCCGGUGUCAUAUUAGAAAUAUAUUGCAGGUCUAAACUCCAAAGCAUCAGUAGUGCCACAAGGGCAGACUGUGGCACUACUGCUCAACUUUUAACAAACACUGUACAGUGACGUGUAUAAUUUUAUCAAAUGUUUUAUUAAAUUUAAGAGUAGAUUUCACACUAAAUGUUGCUUUGCUCAAUUAAAUUUUGCAACAAAAUUUCAUUAUUGGUCCAAUAUUGUUGAAUAAAUACUUGGCAUUUUUGCUUGCCUGCAGGCAAUGAAAGCAGACCAUGCCUCUGUAGCAAGCGCCUCUCCAAUGGCAAGGCAUCCAUGUGACAGUUCCUUGCUCUUUAUACUUGAUGAACCAGGCAAACAUGUGAUGUCAAGUGUUCCACUGAACAGAGCAAAUCAAACUGUCUUUUUUGCAACAGCCGAGUAAAUGUAAAGCAGCAUUUAAGUGCAAAAUUUCCUAAGAAUUAGGAACCCAGGUCACUGUACAAUAGUCUGUAUCUUUAUUUACAAUUUCUUUAUCAUACAUUUUUCAUACAUUUUAUUCACAGUUGAUAUUCUUAACCUAUUCGCACUCAAGCUGCACACAAGAAUGUAACAAAAAGCUUGAGAACAGCAUUUGUGAAAUGCAUUGCCAAAUGCAGGAGGCAAUGGGGUGCUGGUAAUGUGUUUUUGUAAGUGCAGGAACAAGCCCCCAGCUCUUUGCGUUAAGCACAUCAGCAGGGCUGUUAUCAAACUUCUACUACAAGCUCGUUAGAAGUCUGUCCAGCAAAGUGGACUCAACCUCCAUGGCUACAAAGCAAUGCAAUGUGCAUGCAGUACUUGUCAGUCUAUGAACCAAGCAGGUGCAAAGUUACAGCCAGCCUGGAGCGAAUCUUCUGGAAGCAGUCUCCCUCCUUAAACAUGCGGGUCCACAAGUGCUUGUCAGCUUUAGCUGAAGUGUUGAGACGGUGCAAGAGUUUGGUGGCAGAGUUUUGACUGCAGCACGUUUGCAGCUCCGGAGAGAGUGCUUUAUUUUUGUAGGUGCGAUGGUUGCAUGGCCCGGGAAGGGGUCUUCGGUUUUUGUACAUAGAGGCAAGUUUGUCAUCUGCUAUCAUUUCUGCAGUUGCGUUGCUUCACAUGUGUCCCUUGCCCUGUCUGCUAGCAGGAAUGAAAACUGACUGUGAUUUCACUUGUUGAAAAAAGUGGGAGUUGUUGAACGUCGGUGGCUAGGUUUUUCCUCUCGUCUCUUGGCAACUUCUUUCAGGAGAAACCAACUUGGCCAAUAAGAGAGCUUCUAAAUGGAAGUUAGGAAAGAUGUGCGCUACAAAGUCUGUUGUAAGUCUGUUGUGCCAUACGUAUGCUCUGGGUACUGUUUGGGUGGAAAGAAGUGCUGCAUAGCGUUCCUUGUUGUUCUAAGUUUUCAUUUGUGCUUCGCCGGCCAAGAAUGGCUGUUGUUGUUGAAGCCGUGAGUUCUCCUUGUGCAGUUUAAACGCGUGUGCUUGUCGUUUCUGUGUGCAUUGGUGCAAUGCUCAGUUUGCCGAGUCCUCUUUUGCUAUUGGCGGCCUGUUCUGGGGAAGUUUCGGGUUGUCGGUGUCUUUGCUUUGCUUGCAAUUUCACAAUGAUUCUCUCUUGGCUCACUAAUGACUAUUUGUAACAGUCAGUUGCUUCAAGAUCUGUGGCAAAUGGCAAUUAUUUUAACAUUUAAUAUGCGAGAAAGUUUUCGUUCACGCCUUAGUGGCCUUCUAAAGUUGUGAGGGGAGCUUAUAAUUUUCUGGCUAGUGACAAGACCUGAAUUAAGCAGUUAGCUGGAAAAAGCAUGCAGCACUCAGUACAGCUCCUAACAUACACAUUUUUUAAAUAGUUUAUAAGAGGCCUCGUGACUGCGUUCAUUUUAUAUUUGGUACUUGCAACAGUCAUGCAAAUAAUUAGAGUCCUCAACUUUUUAUAUUUUUACAUGGUGCUAGUAUUCACCACGAAGAAAGCCACUGUUUAAAAUUUAUGCCAUGGUAGUAUCGAUGAGAAGCAUUGCGACCUUCCGAAAUCUUAGUUUUACAGUGUAAACACUGCCAAAAAUUUUCUCAAUGCAGUUACCAAAUGUGAACUGAACACGAAAAAUCCGGCAACACAGCACCAUAGAGCCUUCCUCAGAGCAGUUUGGCAAUAAAUUUAUUGUACAUGUUCUGCUAUUUGUUCUGCAUUGCUCAAAGCUUCUUUUGUUUUGGCUUUUGUUUUUGGUCAUCAACUUUGCCCAGAUCUCCGAGGGGAGAAAGUCAUUUUCCCUCAGCAUCUUGUGCUUGUGUUGGCUUUCUUUUUUUUCUGCCAACUUCGUGCAUCUUUGUCUUAGCCAUACAGGACAGCUGUCUAGUUUGUACAGAGCUUGUGUUAUUUUCAGCACACGUCCAAGUGACCAUUGUGACCGACAAUGCGUUAGUUACGCACUUAAUAAAAAUGAAUCCAUGAAAAAAGAA
rnacentral:lncRNA from 1 species